UGCCAGCAGCCGCGGUAAUACGGAGGGUACAAACGUUAAUCGGAGUGACUGGGCGUAAAGGGCGUGUAGGUGGAUAGAUAAGUCAUGUGUGAAAUAUCCGGGCUUAACCUGGAGGGGUCAUGUGAUACUGUUUAUCUCGAGUAGAGCAGAGGGAAGUAGAAUUUCCGGUGUAGCGGUGAAAUGCGUAGAGAUCGGAAGGAAUACCAGUGGCGAAGGCGGCUUCCUGGGCUCAUACUGACACUGAGGCGCGAAGGCGUGGGUAGCAAACAGGAUUAGAUA
rnacentral:rRNA from 1 species